UACGUAGGGUGCGAGCGUUGUCCGGAAUUAUUGGGCGUAAAGGGCUCGUAGGCGGUUUGUCACGUCAGGAGUGAAACUCGGGCUCGAACCCGAGCCUGCUUCUGAUACGGGCAGACUAGAGUGGUGGUAGGGGAGACUGGAAUUCCUGGUGUAGCGGUGAAAUGCGCAGAUAUUGGGAAGAACACCUGAGGCGAAGGCGGGUUGCUGGGCUGAGUACUGACGCGUGAGGCGCGGAAAGCCAGGGAGGCAAACAGGG
rnacentral:rRNA from 1 species